UACGGAGGGUGCAAGCGUUACUCGGAAUUAUCGGGCGUAAAGCGCACGCAGGCGGCGAGGUAAGUCAGUUGUGAAACUCCCGGGCUUAACUUGGGAACUGCAGCUGAUACUGCCUUGCUUGAGUACGGAAGAGGGGAGCGGAAUUCCCAGUGUAGAGGUGAAAUUCGUAGAUAUUGGGAGGAACACCGGUGGCGAAGGCGGCUCCCUGGUCCGAUACUGACGCUCAUGUGCGAAAGCGUGGGGAGCAAACAGG
rnacentral:rRNA from 1 species